UUCCCGGUAGCUUAGUCGAUAAAAGUGCCCGGCUCUUAUCCGGGAGAUCCGGGUUCGAUUCCCGGCUGGGUGA